CUAGAUGAGCUUUAAGGUCCCUUCCAACCCAAACCAGGCUGGGAUUCUCCGAUUUCCCACUAGCACUUUUCUCUGCAGAGCCCAUCACCAGGGUGAAUUAAAAAUUCCAGAUUUCUGGAGCGCACUCUUCUCAUUUCAUAGCUGCUGCUCAGGCAAAGCUGGUAUUAAUUCAGGAAGAGUCUCCCCGAGCAAGAACUCUCCAGAGUCCAAAAUAUUUUGCAGGCAGUAAAUACAGGAAUUAUUCACCUACCACAGAACAGCAUCAGCCUCUGGGUGGAAUGCAGGAGCUGGUUAACAGUGUGCAGAAACACUUCCCCCCAGGUUUGGACAGGAGUUGGAAGUUUGUGUGUGCCCGACUGAAACUGCAACCAAAAGUGAUGAGUCGCUCCCUUGGUCCUGGAGGGGCAAGCACCAGCUACCUGGGUACCUCACCACUUCCUCUGGGAUGCCAGGAGGCUUUUCUGGAGCUCACCCAUCUGACCCAGUCCUCCACAUGAGAUCUGGCAACACAAUCGCUCCAAGUGUCUGGGGAGCAGCACCAGAAGCACCUGCAGGGUUAGGAGAGUAUGCUCCAAGAACAUAAAACCCCCUUUCCAUCUCUCUUCCCGAACCUCAGCCCCAUGCCCAAAUCCAAGGAGAAUGGCCACCUUCUGCCUGCAGCCCUGGGGACACCCUGUACACCUCAGUCUCCUUUAGACUCCAUCCAGAGCGUGCCAGCAAAGCAAGCCACACCGGAGAGCAUCAGCUGAGCUGGUGCAAGGUACACACACACCUGAGCUGGUGCUGAAGUGCCCUGCUGAGGAAGGCAGGUCAGCUCGGAUGCUGUCCCCAGUGCUGUCGCGGCUGUGCUCUUUCUGGGAUGCGUCCUGGAGCUGACAUGCUGACCUCUGCACUGCAUCACGUUGUGUCAUGGAGCUGUGCCACCGAGCCUCAGAGCCUGCUCAGAGCUCUCUGUUGUGCCUCUUUCUUAAGCAGGGCAAAUAGCACAAGUGAGUGCAGGGUGUGGAGAUAAGGCUGUGACCUUUUAGAUUAUUCUGUUGCUUUACUACAAAUGCUGAUGGGUCCAGCCAGGCAGCUGGGUUCUUUUGUGAGAUUAAAUUAAUCUCAUUAAUUCAAAUGUCUAAAAGUAGCAGCCUUUAGUCAGCAGUGACCUGCACUGUUCUUGUGCUGGGGGUAGAUCUUUAGAGUCCAUCUCCCAUUGCUGGAGCUGUCCUGCUCUCCCUGUGUUUCUGAAUCACUGUCUGAAGCAUUGUGCUUUUGUGUUUGGUUUUGUCCAGUGAAGGAUUAUGAGGCUUCACAAGCAGAGAAGACCAAGAUGCGUGAAGUCUCCAUGACAGGUCUGUGCACUUUUACAUAGAACAUGUGUGCAACCAAGAGGUGUGUCCAUAAUGAAUUAAAUGGGGCUACAUUUGGGCAUUUGUUUGGUCUUAGCUGUGUAAAGAUUCCAGAAAAGCUUUUAAGUACUUGCCAAAGUCAGUGAGAGCCAACCACCUUUAUUAAAGCUUGCUUGAAUCAGAUCCUAACUGUACAGAAACUGGACACAGCAGUUGCUUUUUAGAGGGACUAAUAUUAAUCAUACAAAUGUCUAUGGAGCAAAACUGUUGUAAAGGAACACCAGGCGAGUGUCCCCAUCCCAACCAGCCUUCACCCUUUUCCAACAGUGCCUAUACAGAGAAAGCCAUCAUUCCCUUUAGCCAUAAGAGCUGGUGAUGCUGCACAACACUGUUGGAAAUCAGAAUAGUUUGGGUUGGAAAGGACCUUAAGAUCAUGCAGUUCCGACCUCCUGCCAUGAGCAGGGAUGUUCAAACCCUUCCCUCUGUACCUAAAGCCAUGGAGCAGAGCAUGUAAGGAUGAUCCAGGCCUCCUUGUCUCAUCUGUCUUACCUAUCUAUACCAAGAUGCUAUUUCCAAAACUCCUGUCUUGACAAUGCUUUAGCAGGAUCAAAUGUCCCUUUAUGCAGCCUCCAGAUGGAACAGCCACCAGCCCAACAGAGGAGACCUCAUCUGCAAGGGAACUGUAAGUUCAUUUGCCUUGCUUGAGGAUAAAAGCCCCUCGGCAGCUUGUUGUGAGCUCCCAUGAGGCAAGCCAAAUCCUGCUGCAUGGGAGUGGUAUCCCUGUGCUGGCCAGCGCGCCAGCGGGAAGUGGAAGGGGGAUUCAGACAGAGGAGAAAUUCUAGAGGGGAGAAUAGAUGCAAGAAAUUCCUAGGAAUGUUACAAAAAUCAACAUCCCCCCCUCUGCUCCUUCCAAACCAACCCACCUAAAAAAUGCCGUUUUGUGGGCUAUUUUGGAAAGGAGUCCAUGCCUGGGGAAUUUUUGGCUGAUGCUUAUGGCUUUUAGAAGUUUCUGGGAGAUCAGACGAAUAGAAACAGGAACCAGAUGGGACUUCUAGCUGCUGGAAAGAAAGGAAGAAAAAAGGGGAGAAAAAAAAAAAUCCCUUGUUUAAAAUGUGAAAAGCACUUGUUCACUUUUGGGGGAGUUUCCCCUUCACUCUGGAUUUCUUAUUUUAAAGUAAUUUACCCCAGUUCCAUCAUAUUCUCUUAGGACAUUUAUCUCUUUUGUUGUUGUUGCUAGGAAUUCUUCUUUCUUUUGCAAUAAAUAACAGUUUAUUCUUAAGAGAAUUUAAGCCUUUGCCUUAGUAGAUAAAAAGAAAGUCAGUGGUUGGUUUUGUUCUUGCAGCAGCUUCAACAUCCCUUGGCCAUUUUCUCUCUGUGUUUAUCCCUGUGAGGCUGCAAAACAUGAAAGAAGGCAGUGGUAGCUGAGAGACAGCUCUGAGCUAACAAAAGGGAGCACACAUAGGUCCUGUUUAAGGUCAUCAAAGGGAGAGUUGCACCAUGCUGGAACACACUAUAGACCCAAACAUGGGCCUCAGAUGUAUGGUGUCUGCAGUGACCCAACUUGUCAAGCAUAGUGCUGGAUUUGUGGUGUCUUGGCUGUUUGGUUUUGGGGUUGUGGGUCCAGAAAACAGGCCUGGUCCAGUCCCAGGCUCCAUUUUAUCAGACCUUGGCUCUGGAGCUGGUUCAUCUCUGGAAAACAUCCCAGAGGCUGAACAGGGCCAAGGAGCAUUUUCCAGCUCCUGGGUCCAAGCUGGACUCUGUGCUGGGAGUCCAUGGUCUGACACCAUGCUGGGACUGGGCUCAGUUGUGCUCCAUCCUCACAAGCCAUGGAAUCUUAUUCCCUAGCUGGUAGGAAGAGGAAGCAAAGUAGAUACCACCUUGUAGAUAAAGAUAGUAACCAUACAUGCAAGCUUUGCCACUAAUCUUCUGUUCAAGGUUCUGCUCAUAAUGAAUUCUUUUAAUGGUUAAUUAGGGUUGUGUUGUGUUAGUUUUUAACAUCCAGUUUUCCAGUCAUUUACUGCUUCCUGGUAAAAACGCACUCUUCCAGGUUCCUGUCUUGUUUUAUAGCCUUCCUUUUCUUGAUAAUCAUUUUGUAUUAUUUCUUGUGCCCUCUAAUCUGAAGCCAUUCCCAAGAUAGGGUCAUCAGCACAAGGCAGUGACCCUUGAUAAACCUUCACCCACGGAUUGUAAGUCAGCAUGAAAGGAAAUCCAUCCCUUGGACUUAAUAAAGUAUAAACUGUAUUUCUAGGGAAUUGAUUGGAAGCUUCAUGAACAGCAUUAGGACUGUUCUGUGUGCUAUGAGGCUUAUGAGUGGUGAUGCACAAAGUCAACUGUAGAUAUUUUAAGACACAAUAGUUGGUCUUUUGUUCGCAUUUUCAACUGUGUGUAUGUUGGAACACAUGGCUUUGGUUCCAAGGUUUGUCACAGAUGGACCUAACUAAGCCAGCUUGAGCCCUCUCCUAUGGUGACCAAUUGAUUAGAUUAGUUGAAAUGAAAAAAAUGCCCCAAAAUGUAAGGCUUUGGGUUUGAGUGGCCAACUGGAGUUCUGAUUUCUGUGGCUUGCUCUUUUCCUUUGGCUCAGGCUGGUCCGGCAGGAUGUCCCGUAUUAGAACAGUGCUCAGUUGUUGUUGUUCUUUGUGGUUCCAGUGAGCUGCUUUUUCAGCAAUGUCUGGAAGGAAAGAGGCAUAGGGGACUUGGUUCACAGCAUUUGGACAAAAGCUUUUAUUUUCCCUUUCCCCCCCCCACCCCUUCUUUUUGCUUGUCAUGGAUCUGAUGUGCAAGCAUUUCCUGGAGUGACAUGCUGAGAUUUCUAAAGCAAAGUGCUCCUCACAUGACUCAGGUGGCUGCUGUCACAGUCAAAGCAGUAUCACCCUAGGAAUUUUGUUUGAAUUUAGCUUCCAGCUCAAACAAAAGUCAUCUGAGUAGACGAGCUUUUACUGGUUUCACUUUGGCUUCCUAUGUCGGUUUAAUUUGGCCCAUGUUUGCUCAAAAUGUCUCCAGCUGUCUAGAAACUUGUUCCUAGCUUGCUGGAACAUUCACAGCCCUUUUGGCCAGUGUGACCUUAGUUAGAAAGGCUGGCUGUUGUUUACUCCAGAUCAUUUUUACUAGCUUAGUUAUAUAUAAGGCAGGUCACAUAAUUAAAGAGACAAACGCAUUGGUUGCUGUCCUUGUGUUCCCACGUGAGAAGCUCCUGCUGUGCACAAUGCCCAGGCAGGAGAUCUGCCAGAGAACACCACCUCAUUUAGUUCCAUGGGAGAUUUUUGCUAAUAUUUUCUUCUGUGUUAUCGCUCUCUUUGUUUCUCUGUUGGAAAGCUUCCCUCUUUCACACUGAGGACCAAAGUGUCAGAAGAUUAAAGGACUGUCUUUUCGCCCAACUAAUAUGAAUUGGAUGCUGAACUGUGUGCUGCUCAGAAGAUGAAAUGCCUUCUAAAGAAGUGAGUGGCUAGAAGGAGGCAGUGAAAAUCCAUCAGAUUUGCAUGACUAAUUAGCUUAUCCAUUAGUUAUUAUCCUUGUGUUUACUUGUAAUGAGAAUCUUCAAAGAUUAUUCUAUGUUGGAUAUGCAGCUGAUUUUUUGCUUACAGAGGUUUUUUGCUUACUGCAACGUGUGCUGUACCUUGACAUGCAUCAUUCUCUCCUAGCCCAGGUGUCCAUCCUCUGGAGGGUGUUGAUCCUGCAACCAUUAGCAGGGGAUGAACCAAGUGCCGACACAGCCCAGACUGUGCGUGAGACAUUUUCCCUUUCCCCUGAAACUGGGUCUGAUUCUCUGAACUUCUUGGCACCCAGAUCCGAGCCUUGUUUCAUGAGCUGGAUGUCAAGUCCUGGUUUUUUGGUACUUUGAGUUAUUCAGCUCCUCAGUUGUUAAACAAGUGCUCCUUUUGUGAAAGGCGUUCAUGCUCUGUAGGAAGAAAUUUUCUCUGUGUGCCUUCUCAUAGUUUUCUCAGUGCAUGGUAGGAUUUUGUAAGAGGAAUGU